UUUGCUAACUGGGCUUCUGUUCCUUCCCGCAGCGUUGGGCCGGAGCACUAGCCUCACGGAGAAGGAUCUGAAAGAGGCCAAGGUGCGGAGCCAGCAGAUCGCAGCCCAGCUGACCACCCGCCCCAGCUCCAAUUCCCGCCGGUGUCCAGCUCUUCAACAGGCGCCGGCAGAGGGUGAACGAGUUCACUUUGGAGAGCCACGGCCAGAGGGGACAGAAGCCCAGCCAGAAGUCCCUCAGGGUGCUCCCUGCAAGCCCCCCAGGUCAUGCCCCAGGGCUCAGCCUGAGUUCCACCUCGCUGCCGGAGCCAGGCCCUCCACAGCACCCCAGUCCCCAGAGCCCCGACAGAGGGGUACCUGGCCACAGCAUGGAGGGCUACUCAGAGGAGGAUAGCUUGCUCCGGCACCUGGAGAAGGUGGCCAGUGAGGAGGAAGAAGUGCCACUGGUGGUUUAUCUAAAGGAGAAUGCGGCACUGCUGACGGCCAAUGGGCUCCACCUGUCCCAAAACCGAGAGGCCCAGCAGUCCCUCACCGGCCCCACCUCCAGCGGAGGCCCACAGCCCGGCUGCAGAUGUCAAACCAAAACCUCGCCUCGCCCAGUGGCCACGCUAAACCACAGCCCGCUUCUAACAGCAGCCACAACCCGCCAGCCACGAUGUCAAAUCAGAACCCCCCGGCAACUGCCGUCCCACAGAGCCUUGCCACUUUCUGGCAUCCAGCAGAAUUCCUCAGAGGCCCAGCUCCCAUCCAAUGGCACGGUGCAUGCUUCCAAAACCCAGCACCUUGCUGUGCUGACGGGCAACCCCAGGCACCGGCCGAGGAGGUGAGAUGCAGCACGCUCCUAAUUGACAAGGUGUCGACUCCAGCUCCUGCCACGAGCACCUUCUCCAGAGAAGCUACGCUCAUCCCCAGCUCCAGGCCACCAGCCUCAGAUUUCAUGUCCAGCUCCCUGCUCAUCGACAUCCAGCCCAACACCCUAGUGGUGUCAGCAGAUCAAGAGAUGUCUGGGCGAGCAGCUGCCACCACACCCACCAAGGUAUACAGAGUGAGUCCACUUCACACUGGCCAAGCCCCCAUCAGUGGUCAACAGGACGGCCAGGCCUUUUGGGAUCCAGGCGCCAGGGUGGCACCAGCCAGAUGGAGAGGAGCCCCAUGCUAGAGAGAGAACAACAUUUUGGGGAGAAGGCCCCGGCUCCCCAGCCCCCAAGUAUGCCAGACAGGAGCCCCCGGCCACAGAGACAUAUCAUGUCCUGCAGCCCCAUGGUGGAAAGGAGGCUGAUGGGGCAGCGAAGCCGCGGUCUCAGAGAGACCGCCCACUUGGGGAACUUCACUCCACCCCCCACCUACACUGAGACCUUGUCCACAGCCCCUCUGGCUUCCUGGGUGAGGUCUCCUCCCUCUUAUUCUGCCCUGUACCCCAGCUCCGACCCCAGGUCUUCUCACCUGAAGGGCCAGGCGGUUUCCCGCCAGCAAGACGGGCAUCCUGGAGGAGUCGAAUGGCCCGCCGGGGCACCGCAAAUCCAUGUUCACCUUUGUGGAGAAGCCCAAGGUGACCCCGAAUCCAGACCUGCUGGAUCUGGUACAGACAGGCGGGAUGAGAAGCGGCGGCAGAGGGACCAAGGGGAGGUGGGCGUGGACGAGGAGCCCUUUGCCCUGGGGGCCGAGCCUCCAACUUCCAGCAGGAGCCAGCCUCCCUCGUGACAGAGCCAGCCCGGCGGCGGAGGAGGGCACUCCCAGAGUGGGCCUCCUGCCUCAAGUCACCCCGCAUCCAGGCCAAGCCGAAGCCCAAACCCAACCAGAACCUCUCCGAGGCCUCUGUGGAAGGGGCUGAGCUCUACGCACGGCCGCCAGUCACGGAUGGAGAAAUAACGUCAUCGCGUCUUCAAGCCACACGCCAGAGGUUGGCCCGCUGCCCACACCCACCAUGUCCCUGCCUUCUUCCUGGAAUACCCCACUACCGCCCCCGGGGCCUUCCGAGUGGCAUCCCGAAGCCCAGCCCGGACCCCACCUGCCUCCCUCUAUCAUGGCUAUCUGCCUGAGAAACGGGGUCCUGACGCCCGGAGCCCACCAAGCAGCCGCCGUACCAGCUGCGGCCCUCGCUCUUUUGUCCUCUCACCGAUCAAGGAGCCUGCCAAGGUCUCCCCAAGAGCUGCCUCGCCCGUCAAGCCCACCUCCUUGGACCUGGUGCCCAACCUGCCAAGGGGUGUCUUCCUCCGUCUCCUGGCCUGCCUCGGGCCAUCCCGCUCCUCGCCGGGCCUCUACACCUCCCCCGGCCAGGACAGCCUGCAGCCCACUGCCGUGAGCCCUCCCUACGGCGGAGACAUCUCCCCUGUGUCUCCCUCCAGGGCAUGGUCUCCCCGAGCCAAGCAGGCCCCCAGGCCCUCCUUCUCCACCCGGAACGCCGGGAUCGAGGCUCAGGACCGCCGGGAGAGCCUGCCCACCUCCCCUCCCCGGACGCCGGGCGCGUCCCGGCCCCCCAGCAGCCUGGACGGCUGGGUGAGCCCGGGGCCGUGGGAGCCAGGCCGCGGGAGCAGCAUGAGCAGCCCCCCGCCGCUGCCGCCGCCCAUGUCUCCCUCGUGGAGCGAGCGCUCAGUGUCCCCGCUGCGACCCGAGACCGAGGCGCGGCCCCCCAGCCGCCAGCUGCAAGCGCUUCUGGCGCGAAACAUCAUCAACGCGGCCCGGCGCAAGAGCGCCUCCCCGCGGCCGGCGGGCGCCGAGAGCCUGCGGCCCUUCUCCCCGCCGAGGGCGCCGCCGCCGCCGCCGCCGCCGCCGCCGCGCAUGCGCUCGCCGCAGCCCGCUCGCCCCGGCCCGCCUGCUGUGCCGGGGGCAGCGUUUGCGCCCAUCCUGCGGAGCCCGCUGCCCCCAGGGCCUUCCUCCUGCACCAGUCCCCGGAGCCCGCUGCCCGCGCCUCCCAGGCCCUUCCUCUACCGCCGCUCGCCCACGGACUCCGACGUGUCCCUCGACUCCGAGGACUCCGGGGCUAAGUCUCCCGGCAUCCUCGGCUACAAUAUCUGCCCCCGCGGGUGGAACGGCAGCCUGCGGCUCAAGCGUGGCAGCCUCCCCGCCGAGGCCUCCUGCACCACCUAGAGCCCCACCCCCCGACCCCACCCCAGGAGCGCAGAGCCAGAAGAAGGCUCAUCCAACCUGGGGAAUCCAAAUGGUCUUGCCUCUGGGCAGCCCCAGAGACGAGGGGUCAGCCGAGGAGAGCUCUGGGCUCGGGGAUGGGUCGGGGACGCAAGCUUGAGUUCUAGCCCCUGCUCUCAUUCCGUUGUUGUGUGACCCCGGGUAAGACCCUUCCUGGUUUGACCUUCCGCUGUCCCAUCUGUUUAAUGGUGGCUUUGGCCAAGGCAGUCCACGAAUGUCAAAAUUCCCCUUCCCAUCAAUACACACGCGCGCGCGCACACACACUCUCUUACACACUAGUUAGUGCCUUGAAUGAGGCAGGACAGUGUGUAUACUGACUCCUGGACUUGCCACCUUCAGAGUUCCAUACUCCUCCUUCCCCUCCUGGCUCUGCUCUCUGGAGUCUGGCAAGUGGGGUGCGUUCAGAAGAUCCUAGGCCUAUGUCCCAUGUCCAGGCACUGGCCUGACCAUCCGGCUUCCUGGCACCAAGUCCCAGGCGGGAGCAGCUGUUUUCCAUCCCUUCCCAGACAAGCUCUAUUUUUGUCACAAUGACCUUUAGAGAGGUCUCCGAGGCCAGCUCAAGGUGUCCCACUGUCCCCUCUGGAGAGAAGAGGCAGGAAAAUUCUCUCCGGGUCCCUGUCACGCUACUUUUCUUCACUUCAGCCUGCCCGGGACAUCUUAUCUGCAGCCAUAAGAGAGCUCUAAGGCAGUGAUUUUCCUUAGGCCCAGGACUUGAGCCUACAGCUCAUCUGUUCCUUCUGAGCCCAUUCACGGCAGAUUCUGGGCUCAAAGCUGAGCUGGGGAGAGAAGAGAUACAGAGCUACCAUGCGGCUUUACCUGAUUGCCCUCAGUUUGGGGUUGCUUAUUUGGAAAGAGAGAGACAUAGAGUUACUUGUUAUGGGAAAUCUGAAAGUCAUGGCCGGGAUGCAUAGGAGGAGAUUCUAGCAGGGGACAGGAUUGGCUCAGAUGACUUCUGAGGGCUCUUCCAGUCUUGAAAUGCAUUCCAUGGUAUUAGGAAGUCAGGGGUAUUAGGAAGUGGUGGUGGGCUAGGUGGGCUUGAAUUCAGGGGCCAAUGAGCUUGGGUAGGUGAACGGAAUGUUAGGUUAGGGUCUACCUGUUAUUUCUGCCCCCUUGGGAAAUGUCCCCUUCUUCAGUGUCAGACCUCAACUCCAGUGUCCAGAAAAGUAGACAUUGUCCUGCCCCAUCCCUUCCCCAGUGCACCCUGACCUAGCUAUUGCCUGGUGCCCAGUGACCUUGGGGAGCCUGGCUGCAGACCUUCAGUGGUUCCUUAAAUCUUGGUGGCUCUGAUUCCAGUCCCCAGGAGGGAGUCAGGGAGGAAUAUGGCUGAGUUCUGUAGUUUCCAGAGUUAGCUGGUAGAGCCUUCUAGAGGUUCAGAAUAUUAGCUUCGGGAUCAACUGUGGGGCAGGAAUUGGCUGAGGAUCAAAAGCAUGUAGGUGAAAGGAUACUAGGAUGUUGCAUAAGGUGUGGGACAGUGUGGUUUUGGGACUUACCCACCCAUCAGUGUGAUGUUAGAUCUAGAACCCCCAAGUGAGGCUGGAGAGAGUUAGGGUCAGUAUGGAAGAUUGGGUGGGGAAGGGGUGCUUUAGAAUAAAGGAGAGAUCUUAGAGGGCUCCUUGGGCCUCAGGAAUGAGGACACCGCUCCUGAUGGUGCGAAGAUGAGAAGGUGUUCUUACUCAGUUAAUGAUGAGUGACUGCAUUUCCCAAAGCCCCCACCUGCUGCAGGGUCCCUCAUAGCACAGGAGACUGGGACUAAAGGCCCCUCCCAGAGAAGUGACACCAUCAGGCCUCUGGCUGAGGCAGCAGCAUAGAGGAUCCACCUCUACCUGUGUUUCCCAAAGGGCUGGCAGGAGGCAGCCCCUGGCUGUCCCCCAUUGUCACUGCUUUCUCCCCGUUCUCUCCUCUAACCUGCUAGAGCCCAUGUCCUGCCUCUUGUAGAAUUCAGCUCUGGCCCUCAAUAAAUGCUUCAUGCAUUCUUCUGCC